rnacentral:lncRNA from 1 species
CAUAUGAAUGGUCAUUAUAAACUCUAUUCGUUCCUGGUAUACGAAUAAGCCAAUACACAUUUACAAGGACAUUGACCUAAUUUUAUGUCGUAAUGUGUAUUGCCUAAAAGCUGAUUACACAAUACAGUUCAUUCACCGAUCGGCCUGCAAGGUGCUUGUAAGCGCCACCUAUUGGUUUUUAAUUAAAGUUCAUACACAAAAA